rnacentral:pre_miRNA from 1 species
ACGCUGCAUCUCUCUCUCUCUUUCUUUCUCUCUCUCUCGAUGUAUAUAUAUAUAUACAUACAUCGAGAGAUAGAGAGCAAAAGAGAGAGAGACAGAGAGAUGC